ACCAGAUUGAUUUUUUUAAGACCGAAGAAAAUAAAAGUAUCAUCUUCGUAUCAUACACACAAAAUUAUAACGAUACGUCGUGUCGUGUCAGACGAUAGUUAGUAAAAUUCUUUUACGCUCAAGAAAUUCACUGCCGCAAAUUUAAACUUUCCCGCUUAAAUUUGAAAAUAGCGGCAACAAAAAUUAGUGCACCUCUGAUAUUUAGCGGGAACUGCCGCUAUUGGUCGGUUCAUUCUGGCCUUUGAUUCUGGCGCGAAGAACAAUCAAACGAACAUAACAACAUAACCUCAAUCUAAACGGCCAAUUUUUGAUUUUUUGUUUGUUCUUUACUCACUGGCCAAAGUCCAUUUGUAAUUAAUUUAGAUCCUCAAUUUAUUUUAAGAAUAUAUAUUUGCGUGUGGAAAAUCAUGGAGGUUGACCAACACGAUGUAAAUGAAGAAAUCAAGCCACUGCCCCGCAAAUGUGGUAGAAAAUCCAGCUUCUUUCGGAAGUCCUUCAGUGCCUAUGCAGAAUCCUGCAACCAAACAACGUCUGUGAGAUCGACAAUCUUCUCUGCUGAUGAAAGUACUGAAGGAACAGAUGAUGGACUUAUUGCACUUCUGAAAGAACAGAAAAAACAAAGUAAAGUAGCUGUCGAGGAAUUGAAGGAUGCCUGUAUUCUAGCAAAGGCACAGAGCUUUCAAGAUUCCUUCGAUUUUGAAAAGGAAUUCGAGGCAGGAAUGUGUGAUAAGGAGGCUUUGAAAUGGAAAGAAAAUUUGGAAUUCAUCAAUGCAGCUCCUGACUAUAAAGGACUUUUUGCAAAGUUCGAGUCACUGAAAGAAAAAAUAGCCCUCGAGACACGACUUGAUGCUAUGCUGAAGGAAGCAGCCGCCAACUUUGCCUGUGCUGCUCAAAACAAAAUUCAAAAUUCAGUCGGCAAUGUUAUCCAAAAACUUGCAAAGGAAAGAUUAACAAUAGCUGAUAUCCUGACUCCUGAUUUAAACAUCGAUUCUGAUGGCAUUAUGAUACCUUCAUUUCUAAAUACUCCAAACAGUCCAAUAGAUGAAAAAGAGAACUUCAUGUCUUAA
rnacentral:lncRNA from 1 species